GCCUCCGUGGCGCAAUCGGCUAGCGCGUUCGGCUGUUAACCGAAAGGUUGGUGGUUCGAUCCCACCUGGGGGCG
rfam:Apis mellifera strain DH4 unplaced genomic scaffold GroupTn143, whole genome shotgun sequence.